rnacentral:lncRNA from 10 species
CCUGGGCUCUCCUCCCCCAGGGUGGACAGGGCCCUCUGGCCAGCCUCCACCCACACCCCCACGUUGAAGUCAGGGUCGGAGACCCACCUGAAAGAAGAGCCAGAGCCCAGCUGAUGUUAUUCUAUGAAGAAAAGCUCCCUCAUCAGUGAAGAUGAACUGCACUUCUUUCUAAAGAGGCAAUGUCAGACGGGCACGGUGGCCUAUAAUCCUAGCACUUUGGGAGGCCGAGGAGGGUGGAUCACCUGAGGUCAGGAGUUCGAGACCAACCUGGCCAACAUGGUAAAACCCUGUCUCUACUUAAAAUACAAAAAUUAGCCGGGCAUGGUGGCACAUGCCUGUAAUCCUAGCUACAUGGGAGGCUGAGGCAGAAGAAUCGCUUGAACCUGAGAGGCAGAGGUUGCAGUGAGCUAAGAUUGUACCACUGCACUCCAGGCUGGGUGACAGAGUGAGACUCUGUCUCAAAAAAAAACAAAACAAAACGAAACAAAAAAACAGUUGACAGUAGUUGUUUUUGUAGAGUGAAAAAUAGAGGUGGGGGUUGAGAUACUGCUGCUAUUUUAAACUAACUUGUAGAUCUGUUUGACUCUUUUUUAAAAAACAAUUUUUUGGAGAGAUGAAGCCUUGCUAUGUAGCCCGGGCUGCUCUCAAACCCCUGGCCUCAAGUGAUCCCCCUGUCUCGACCUCCCAAAGUGCUGGGGUUACAGACAUAAGUCACCACACCUGGCUCUGUUUGACUCUUUAUGUGCAGUUUGAACUUUUUAACUGAAUUUUUUAAAAGGUGUGAAAUUAGUCUUUAAAGGAACACAAAACCAACAGAGAAGCAAGCAGGAAGAUACAAGAAGCAAAGAAAUAUCAUAGUAAAAUGAAAAUACAAAAUAAUAUGACAUAAAUAAAACAGUAAUCA